CCAAUAGCGUAUAUUAAAGUUGUUGCAGUUAAAAAGCUCGUAGUUGAAUUUCGGGAUCAGUUCGCUGGUCGUGCCUCUGGUAUGUACUGGUGUUACUGGUUCCUCCCUUCUGAAGAACUGUCAUGUCAUUUAUUUGGUGUGGCGGGGAAUCAGGACUGUUACUUUGAAAAAAUUAGAGUGUUUAAAGCAGGCUCGCGCUUGAAUACAUUAGCAUGGAAUAAUGAAAUAGGACGUUUGAUCCUAUUUUGUUGGUUUCUAGGAUUGACGUAAUGAUUAAUAGGGAUAGUUGGGGGCAUUAGUAUUCAAUUGUCAGAGGUGAAAUUCUUGGAUUUAUUGAAGACUAACUACUGCGAAAGCAUUUGCCAAGGAUGUUUUCAUUAAUCAAGAACGAAAGUUAGGGGAUCGAAGACGAUCAGAUACCGUCGUAGUCUUAACCAUAAACUAUGCCGACUAGGGAUCGGAUGAUGUUAAUUUUUUAAUGACUCAUUCGGCGCCUUACG
rnacentral:rRNA from 1 species